rnacentral:ncRNA from 1 species
UGCUGAGUAAAUUUACACAUGCAAGUUACCGCACUCCCGUGAAAAUGCCCUCUAGGCCACACUGACCAAAAGGAGCAGGUAUCAAGCUCACUCACUAAUACAAAUGUAGCUCACAACACCUUGCUAAGCCACACCCCCACGGGUAACAGCAGUGAUAAAAAUUAGGCAAUGAACGAAAGUUUGACCUAGUCAUACUAAUUUACCUAUAAGGGUUGGUAAAUUUCGUGCCAGCCACCGCGGUCAUACGAUUAACCCAAGUUAAUAACAAACGGCGUAAAGAGUGUUUUAGAAUUACCACCUCCCACUAAAGUUAAGCCCUAACUAAGCUGUAAAAAGCCCCAGUUAGAACAAAAACAAACAACGAAAGUGACUUUAAAUUUCUGAAUACACGACAGUUAAGACCCAAACUGGGAUUAGAUACCCCACUAUGCUUAACCAUAAACUUAGGUAGUAUGUUAACAAGACUACUCGCCAGAGUACUACAAGCAACAGCUUAAAACUCAAAGGACUUGGCGGUGCUUUACACCCCCCUAGAGGAGCCUGUUCUAUAAUCGAUAAACCCCGAUAAACCUCACCACUUCUUGCUAAUACAGCCUAUAUACCGCCAUCUUCAGCAAACCCUAUCAAGGACCAAAAGUAAGCAAGAGAAUAAUACAUUAAAACGUUAGGUCAAGGUGUAGCCUAUGAAGUGGGAAGAAAUGGGCUACAUUUUCUGCUUAUACAGAAAACAAACGCCNCCUCUAAUGAAAUAUAAAGGCAAAGGCGGAUUUAGAAGUAAAUUAAGAAUAGAGAGCUUAAUUGAAUAGGGCAAUGAAGCACGCACACACCGCC